UACGAAGGGGGCGAGCGUUGUUCGGAUUUACUGGGCGUAAAGGGCGCGUAGGCGGCCGAUCAAGUCAGGCGUGAAAGCCCCGGGCUCAACCUGGGAAUGGCGCUUGGGACUGGUUGGCUUGAGUUCGGGAGAGGAGAGUGGAAUUCCCAGUGUAGAGGUGAAAUUCGUAGAUAUUGGGAAGAACACCGGUGGCGAAGGCGGCUCUCUGGACCGAGACUGACGCUGAGGCGCGAAAGCGUGGGUAGCAAACAGG
rnacentral:rRNA from 1 species